CAGUGGAGGCUACAUGGACAGCAGGAAGUCCCAUCCCCACCCGACAGGCUCCAACAGAGGUCAAGUAGGGGACUUGGGGUACUUCUACCUGGCAGGAUCCAGCAUCAGAUACAUGGUACCUAAGAUGUCUGUGUUUCAUGUGAAUGUGACUUAUCAUACCAAGAACCAGGGAGAUGUCAAAAUGAAUGUAAAAAAAUCAACUGAUGCCAACACCAAGACGACAGAGAUGGUGUAUCACCUGCUAAAGAUGUUAAAGCAGCCAUAAUAAAAAUGCUCCAACAUGCAGUUAGGAAAAUGCUUAAAACAAAUGAAAAAUAAAAGAAGAAAGCCUCACAAAAGAAAUAGAAGAUACAAAGAAGAGCUGGUUACAGAUGUUAGAACUCAAAAAUAUAAUAACGAACAAAAACUUAGUGCAUGAACUCAAGAGCAGGAUGGAAGGAACAAGAAACAGUUUGUAAAUAGGAAAACAGAACAGUAGCAAUGAUGGAGUCUGAAUAUCAGAGGCAAGUAGAUUGAGGGAAAAACUAACAGUCUCAGGGACCUGUGGGAAGAAAAGAAGAUAUAACAUGCACGUCUUCAGAGUCCUAGAAGGAGAGGAGAAAGAGAAUAGGGUUGAAAAAGCACUGAAAGAAAUAAAGGCUGAAAACUUCCCAAAUUUGGUGAGAGACAUAAACCUACAGAUUCAAGAAGCUGCACAAAUUCUAAAUAUGAUAAAUACAAAAAAAAUCCAGCCCGAGAUAGAUUAUAAGUAAACUUCAAACUGAAGGCAAAGCAAAGAUCUCAAAAGCAGCCACAGAUAAAUGAUACUUUACCUAUAGGGGAAAAUCAGUUGGAAUGACAGUGGGCUGGAAUGACAGUGGACUUCUUACCCGGAAACCACGGAGGCCAGAAGUGGCAUAAUAUUUUUCAAGUGUUGAAAGAACCAUCCACCCAGUGAAAAUAUCUUUCAGGAAUGAAGAAAUCAAGACAUUCUCAAAUGGAAGGAACUAAGAGAAUUUGUCAUUAUCAGAACUACCCUACAAGAAUGGCUAAUGGAAGUUUCAGGAAUGAAAAGAAAAUGAUAAAAGAAGGAAUCUUGGGGCAUCAGGGAAAAAGAAAACAUGGCGCCUCUCCAAGGCACAUGCGGCCUGCGUCUGGGCAAUAAACGUCUGACUUUACAAAUUCAAAUAUGAACCCAAACAAACAAUGCCAAUUUGGCCCUAGUGCCCCCUUGACUCAAUUGUUGGAGUAACAAAAGAUAAGCUUCACUACCAAUUAACCUCCUAAACACUAAUUAAAGAUAAUGAGGGAUCAAGGUGCCUGGCUAGCCUGACCUCUGUGUUCCCCCCCAGAGUUCACAGGAGUCUGAUGGCCCAUGUAAGACUCGCCGAGAGGAAAAGGAUAAAGUGGAUGCAGGUGCUGCAUUGUACGGUCUCCCUGGGAAAACGCACGGCCCGAUUGGUGGGGAAUACAAUAAACUCUCUUUAUGAGAAUUACAUAGAGGAAAACGUGCAGAUCUCAGCCUAGGGUAUUUGUUUAUAGGGCUUCAGACCAUGAGUGAGUCACUUAAAGUUCGGCCCAGCCCAUGGAGAGACUUAGAGGCCUUCAACAAAUUAUCUUCCAAACUGUAACACUUGAUUCAUGGUUCUGAGCUGCUUCCAGUCCAUUCUGGAACAAGGUGGGGUGUGUGCAAAGAAGACGCUGCGAAGGGGUGAACGAACCCGUGAUCGUCAGUGCUCCGGAGUCCAGCCACGUCCUCUAUUUUUCUUCAACCUCCUCCCACACGGAGCAACAUAAUAUUGUCAAGUCCUAGCUAGACUUAGACAAACCUCCCGAAUAAAGUAAUUUGUGUGCA